rnacentral:rRNA from 1 species
GGCGACCUGCCGCGGUCGGCCUCGCUGUGCCUGCGGGAGGUGCUCCUCGUGCUGCAGCGCUUCAAGGCCAUGGUGGCCGACUGCGCCGCGCGGAGCCGCACGCUGCUGCUGCUGCAGUCGGACGAGAUGGACGCCGAGCUGCGGGACCUGCACCACGACCUCGCCACGCUGCUCGACCUCCUGCCCGUCGUCGAGCUCGGCCUCGCCGACGACGUCAUGGACCUCCUCGCCCUCGCCUCGCGCCAGUGCCGCCGUUGCGCGUCGGCCGCCGAGCCGGAGCCGGCGCUCAAGACCACCGUGCUGUCGCUGAUCGAGGAAAUCGAGCGGGAGAUCGUGCCCGAGCGGGAGAGGCUGGAGGAGAUCCUGGAGGAGGUUGGCAUCAACGACCCGGCCAGCUGCAGCGACGAGAUCGAGAGCCUCGAGCGGGACAUCGGCGACCGAGCAUCGGAGAGAUGGACUGCCGCCAUGAUCGCCCUCGUCGGCCUGCUCCGGUACGCCAAGUGUGUCCUGUUCAGUGCCACGCCCCGGCCUUCGGAUUCCAAGGCGGACAUCGAUGUCGAAGAUGACGGGGAGUCACCGGCGCCCCCACCGGACCUCCGGUGCCCCAUCUCCCUCGAUCUAAUGCGCGACCCAGUCGUCGCCGCUAGCGGUCAGACCAGCGAGUCGAUCGACCGGUGGUUCGGCUCCGGCAAGUCAACGUGCCCCAAGACGGGGCAAGUCUUGGCCAAUCUGGAGCUGGUGCCCAACAAGUCUCUCAAGAACCUCAUCUCCAAGUGGUGCCGGGAGAACGGCGUAGCCAUGGAAGUCUGCGAGGCCAGCAAGAGCGAGCAGGCCCAGGCGGUGGCCGCCAACAAGGCGGCGCUCGAGGUGGCGCGCAUGACGGCGUCGUUUCUGGUGAAGAAGCUCUCCGUCUCAUUCUCCCCUGACGCGGCCAACCGCGUGGUGCACGAGAUCCGGCUGCUCUCCAAGUCCGGCUCGGACAACCGCGCGUUCGUCGGAGAGGCCGGAGCCGCGCCGAUGCUGGUGCCCUUGCUCUAGUCCGAGGACGCCGGGCUCCAGCUCAACGCCGUGACCGCGCUGCUCAACCUUUCGAUCCUCGAGGCCAACAAGAAGCGCAUCAUGCACGCCGAUGGCGCCAUCGAGGCAGUGACCCACAUCAUGAGCUCCGGCACGACGUGGCGCGCCAAGGAGAACGCCGCGACGGCCUUGCUCAGCCUGGCGUCCGUCCAUACGUGCCGCCGAGCCUUCCGUCGUGGAAAAGUUAGUCCACCUCGUGCGCACGGGCCCGACGAGCACAAAGAAGGACGCGCUGGCCGCGCUGCUGUCGCUGGCAGGCGAGAGGGAGAACGUCGGGAAGCUGGUGGAAGCUCGUGCGAGAAGCGAGCAACGGCAGCCUGCGGCGUAAGGGAGCAGCAGGAAAUAGGUGGCGCAAACGAGAUCGGGAGCAGCAAAUCCAUGCAGCCAACUCUCAAGGUCCUCCUCGUCGUGGGGAUCCUCAAUCUAACGCCGUUCUGUACCUCUGCCUGA